UACGUAGGGCGCAAGCGUUGUCCGGAAUUAUUGGGCGUAAAGAGCUCGUAGGCGGCUUGUCACGUCGGAUGUGAAAGCCCGGGGCUUAACCCCGGGUCUGCAUUCGAUACGGGCAGGCUAGAGUGUGGUAGGGGAGAUCGGAAUUCCUGGUGUAGCGGUGAAAUGCGCAGAUAUCAGGAGGAACACCGGUGGCGAAGGCGGGUCUCUGGGUAGUAACUGACGCUGAGGAACGAAAGCGUGGGUAGCGAACAGG
rnacentral:rRNA from 1 species